ensembl:lncRNA
AUGAAUUUCACGUUCAUUGGGCUUGCUAGGCAGUUGAGCGUCGAAGUUCCUUGUUCCCGAGCCGCGGCACGAGCGAACGACUGCGGCACGUUCGCGCCCACUUUCCCACAAGCGCACUCCCGCGCGCUCCUGACGGGCCGGUGCUUGUGUGAACUUCACCUGGACUCUGGAGGGUCGUAUGACGAGGUAGUUGGAGGAAACCCAGAGUAAAUUACACCAGAGAAUCCAGGAGAGACAGAAGGUGCUUGAGAAGCUGAGAGAGAUUGUAGAGUCUCAAAAGGUGAGUUUUGAGCAGAAGAACAGCUGCUGGCUGCUGAAGAGCUGUUUAAGACUUAAGUUUGGACUUUCCUCCAGUCAGUCAAUGAGGAACCAGUGCUGGAGCUCUUUCAGUCCUCAUUUACAGAGUCCAGACCACAUUCACUCAGCCUCUCUAUGCUGGGUUUAGAGUCAAUUAUACAUUUGGAUCAGUUUCAAAAGCAAAACUGUGUGAACUGAACUGUAUUGAAGAUACAGAGGAUUAUGUCUGAGGUCAAUGUAAAAUCAGUAUCCGUGAAAAAAUUUCUUUAUUUAUUUCCAGAUCAAUGAAUUAAUAUACUAUUUGAACUCCUAUCAGUGAACUAACUUGAAACUUUAUUUGUGUGUAAAUCUUAGUUUAAUCAGAUGAAUGAAUGUUUAUUAAGAAAGACUGAAAGAAAAGAUGUGGAACUGUGGAAAUAACAUCAUUGACACCAACAGCAGAAAAAAUACUUGUAAUGUAACUUAAUUUACUUACUUGCUUAAUAACAAACAAAUUAGAAGCAUGGGAGGCUUUGUUGUGUUUCCUUUAUUAAUACACAUAUAUUAACUCAAUGGAUUUACAGGUUCCUCUUCGUCUUCAAAUAUUAAAUGUCUAAACAAUGUUGGAUUCAACAGUGACACUACAGAAAGACAUUUACUUAAAUGAAAAUGCAAAUAUGUAUUAUGUUUUCCAUCUCUGGAUCUUCUCAUGUUGCCUCAACAGGCUUACAGUAAGCCAUUAAUCAUUUAUUUUAACCACAGUGACUUUAACCAAUAACAGAAAGGGUCAGUCCUGCUCUGUCUGCCUCCCAUAAAGAGUACUUACUUAGAGCACAAUGGUAAAACACUUGCCCUGUAUCUGUGUUAAAUUAGGAUACUUAACUGUAAACCAGCUGGAUGCUCACACUCUAUCUGGACAUGAUUUUAGAUCCUUUAUUUAAAUUCAAAUGUAAGUUUGUGUCACUGCAGUUCCAUUCUUCUUCCAUUAUUGUCAAUGGUUCACUCUACCAAAUAACCUGAAGGUUUCAAACUCUUUCUAACUGACAAGACAAUGACACUUCUUUUAAUUUUACAUUUAUCAUGGACAUUAUUUAACAAAGUUAUCACAUGACAAUCAUGGAGCAGUUAUAAAAGCAAUAAACUAUUCUACAAUUAUUUAUGAUUUGCA